GUUGUUGUUAGGGCGCGACGCUCUUUGAAAAAACCCUAAGGCUCCGUCAUUACUUGUCUUAUCGGAAUGAAAUUUAACACAAUUAUUCUUAGCAAUAUUCCGCAUCGAUUGACGGUGUUCGAUUUUUCAUUUUUGACUUUAGAAGCAAGAUACAAGCAAUUUUUGACUGUAUUUGUAGCAAAUAAUAUAUACAUAUCAUUAAUAUUCAGCAAAUAUAUCAGCAAACGCAAACGAUAAGAAAGACAUUGUCUUGUCUAUUGUUGUGAACACAAUCACAAUAGUCUAAGUAAAUUUAACACGCGCUGGCUUAGUUUCUCAAAGCGCAGAGGAGUAAUAUUGCUAUCUGGCUAUUAUACUGUACAGUACAGUAUAAUAUUCUUCAUAGGCCGAUAGAAAAUCG
rnacentral:lncRNA from 1 species